rnacentral:tRNA from 1 species
AGCAGUGUGGCUCAGUGGAAAGAGCAUGGGCUUGGGAGUCAGAGGUCAUGGGUUCUAAUCCCGACUCUGCCA